rnacentral:rRNA from 1 species
UAAUAGCGUAUAUUAAAGUUGUUGCAGUUAAAAAGCUCGUAGUCGGAUGUCGGGCUCGGGCAGGCUGUCGGCUUCGGUCGGACGGCAGGCUCGGGUCUUUCUGCCUGAGGAUCCCGUUGCACUUAAUUGUGGGGCGUGGGGACGCAGGCCGUUUACUUUGAAAAAUUAGAGUGUUCAAAGCAGGCCUACGCUUGAAUACAUUAGCAUGGAAUAAUGGAAUAGGACUAUGGUCUCUUUGUUGGUUUGAGGGACUGCAGUAAUGAUUAAUAGGGAUAGUUGGGGGCAUUAGUAUUUAAUUGUCAGAGGUGGAAUUCUCAGAUUUGUUAAAGACUAACUUAUGCGAAAGCAUUUGCCAAGGAUGUUUUCAUUAAUCAAGAACGAAAGUUAGGGGAUCGAAGAUGAUUAGAUACCAU